AGCAGCCGCGGUAAUUCCAGCUCCAAUAGCGUAUAUUAAAGUUGUUGCAGUUAAAAAGCUCGUAGUUGAACUUCGGGGUCUACCCAUUGGUCAGGCUUAAUUGUCUGCACUGGUGAGAUGGAUCUCUACCUUCUGAGGAACUUUCAUGCCAUUUAUUUGGUGUGGUUGGAAAUCAGGACUGUUACUUUGAAAAAAUUAGAGUGUUUAAAGCAGACUAUCGUCUGAAUACAUUAGCAUGGAAUAAUGAAAUAGGACGGACUGAUUCUAUUUCGUUGGUUUCUAGGAUCACCGUAAUGAUUAAUAGGGAUAGUUGGGGGCAUUAGUAUUCAAUUGUCAGAGGUGAAAUUCUUGGAUUUAUUGAAGACUAACUACUGCGAAAGCUAUUUGCCGAAGGAUUGUUUUCAUUAAUCAAGAACGAAAGGUUAGGGGAUACGAAGACGAUCAGAUACCGUCGUAGUACUUAACCAUAAACUAUCGCCGACGUAGGGAUCGGACGUAAGUUUAAUUUUAAUAAUAGACG
rnacentral:rRNA from 1 species